CCGACGCCAGGAUGGGAGAGGAGGUGGGCGACUUGGAUAAGAAAGGCCGAGGGUUCCAGCCUUUCGGACACGGAGCUCAGGGAAUGGUGCAAAGGAAAGAUCGCUCAUUAUAAAGUACCGCGUUAUAUGCUGUUCAAGGACGAGUUCCCACGGACGGUCACGGGCAAGAUACAGAAGUUCAAGAUGCGGGAACAGACCAUCGAGGAGCUCAACUUGAAGGCGUAAAAUGUGUGUGGCUUGUGUGUGUGUGUGGCUUGUGCUAGUACGUGUGUGUGCUUGUGCGUGUGCUUGUGUUGUUUGUUUGUUUGAUUGUUUUACAGAGGAUCUUGUACUAACAAUAUAAUUAGGGGAUAUGUGAUAAAUGUUUAUCAAAGUCU